GACGAACGCUGGCGGCGUGCCUAAUACAUGCAAGUAGAACGCACAGUUUAUACCGUAGCUUGCUACACCAUAGACUGUGAGUUGCGAACGGGUGAGUAACGCGUAGGUAACCUGCCUGGUAGCGGGGGAUAACUAUUGGAAACGAUAGCUAAUACCGCAUAAUAUUGAUUAUUGCAUGAUAAUUGGUUGAUAGAUGCUAUUGCAUCACUACCAGAUGGACCUGCGUUGUAUUAGCUAGUAGGUGAGGUAACGGCUCACCUAGGCGGCGAUACAUAGCCGACCUGAGAGGGUGGUCGGCCACACUGGGACUGAGACACGGCCCAGACUCCUUAGGGAGGCAGCAGUAGGGAAUCUUCGGAAAUGGACGAAAGUCUGACCGAGCAACGCCGCGUGAGUGGAGAAGGUUUUCGGAUCGUAAAGCUCUGUUGGAAGAGAAGGACGGGUGUGAGAGUGGAAAGUUCACGCUGUGACGGUAUCUUACCAGAAAGGGACGGCUAACUACGUG
rnacentral:rRNA from 1 species